CAGCUAAUGUCAACUAAGCCAUUUUUGAGAGAAGCACCCUUGACAACAGCUUUUCUGUUAUUGUUUUCAAAAUGUGGGGCAAAGAGGAAAUACGAAGAUAAAUAUACUCAAACUUUCCAAUAUGGCCACAAGGUUGCAUGCCUCCAAAGAAUGUUAAGAUUCAAGACAAGCCUCUAAAGUUGAUCAUGGACAAAGAGUCUCUGACCUGCAGUUCUGAAGUCCAGCCCAGGAAUGACUGAGCUAAAAUCAAGGUGUCAGUAAGACUGCACUCCUUUCUGGAACCUCUAAGGGAUGACAGUCCCCCACACUUGCUGGCUCAUGGCCCCUUCUUCCUCAAUCUUGAAACCAGCUAUGCGGAAUCAAGUCCUUCUCACAUUGUGUCAUCAUACCUUCUCUUACGGAGCCUCUUCCACAUUUAUGGACCCUUGUGAUCACAUUGGGCCCCUCCAGAUAGUCUCUCUGUUUUAAGGUCAGCUGACUGGCCACCUUAAAUUCCACUGCAACUUUCAUUCCCCUUUGCCAGGCAAAAUAAUGUAGUCACAGGUGCCGGGGAUGAGGACAUGGACACUCUUUGGGGAGUGUGAGGGGAGGGUGCUUUAUUCUGCCAACCCAAAUAACCAAGAUUAAAACUGGACACCAAUUAAAAUCUAAAUUUUAGGCGACUUAUUUUGAAGCUUAAUAGCCCCUCCCCAGCCCACUCCCAUUAAUAGCAUCCAUGGAGAAUGGACAGAGUGAAUUGAUAAUAGCAUCCAUGGAGAAUGGACAGAGUGAAUUGAUAAUAGCAUCCAUGGAGAAUGGACAGAGUGAAUUGAUAAUAGCAUCCAUGGAGAAUGGACAGAGUGAAUUGAUUCAUCAUUCAUUUUAAACUGUUGUCUCAUUCUGACAGGACAUUAGAGAAAUAGCUCAGCCUCACUCGUCUAUUCACAGAGCCAGUUUUUCCAUUCUCCAUUCAGAUUCACUGCAUUGACUUAAAAUAGAGAGAACAAAAGCCAAACGCAACAAUUAGUUCAUUUGAUUAACUUGGGAACUCAUGAAGAUCUGAAAACAUGUAUUAGAUACUAAGAAGAAAUUACUAAAACUUGCAGCCCUUUACUGCUAGUUUUUAAAGAAAAAAAAGCAUUCUUAUUAUCUCAUUUGAAUCUAGCAUCACUGUGAGGUGUAUUUACAAACAUAUUACUCAGAGAAGAUGGGUGAUGUGGACGAUCCCACAGACAUGAUGUGUACAGCUGUAACACCCAUGAGGACAGUAUUGACAAUGUUCCAGUAUCUGUGGGAAAAGGAAUGGGCAGGUACCUAGAAAGGCUAGGGGGAAGAACUUACAUUCAGUCAAACCUUAUAACAUUUUCCCAAAC
rnacentral:lncRNA from 1 species